GCCUUAGUGGCUUAGUGCUAAAAGCAUCGGUUUUGUAAGCCGAAGAUAGAGGGUUAAAUUCCCUCCUAAUGCC
rnacentral:tRNA from 1 species